CAGCAGCCGCGGUAAUACGAAGGGGGCUAGCGUUGCUCGGAAUUACUGGGCGUAAAGGGAGCGUAGGCGGAUGUUUAAGUCAGAGGUGAAAGCCCAGGGCUCAACCUUGGAACUGCCUUUGAUACUGGACAUCUUGAGUGUGGGAGAGGUAAGCGGAACUCCGAGUGUAGAGGUGAAAUUCGUAGAUAUUCGGAAGAACACCAGUGGCGAAGGCGGCUUACUGGCCCAUUACUGACGCUGAGGCUCGAAAGCGUGGGGAGCAAACAGGAUUAGAGACCCCAGUAGUCCCUGUCUCUUAUAA
rnacentral:rRNA from 1 species